AGCGAACGCUGGCGGCAGGCUUAACACAUGCAAGUCGAGCGGGCACUUCGGUGUCAGCGGCAGACGGGUGAGUAGCACGUGGGAACGUACCCUUUGGUUCGGAAUAACGCUGGGAAACUAGCGCUAAUACCGGAUACGCCCUUUUGGGGAAAGUCUUGCUGCCGAAGGAUCGGCCCGCGUCUGAUUAGCUAGUUGGUGGGGUAAUGGCCUACCAAGGCGACGAUCAGUAGCUGGUCUGAGAGGAUGAUCAGCCACACUGGGACUGAGACACGGCCCAGACUCCUACGGGAGGCAGCAGUGGGGAAUAUUGGACAAUGGGCGCAAGCCUGAUCCAGCCAUGCCGCGUGAGUGAUGAAGGCCUUAGGGUUGUAAAGCUCUUUUGUCCGGGACGAUAAUGACGGUACCGGAAGAAUAAGCCCCGGCUAACUUCGUG
rnacentral:rRNA from 1 species